GGCAGAGAUGGAGAGAGGCAACGGGAGAGAAACAGCAAGAGAUGGAGGACGGAUGAAGCAGAGGCCAAGUCGCCAGGCUCAGGCACUGCUGGAGAGAAGAGGUCUGGGAGAAGGUCAAGCAAGGUGAGUGGGUGAGAGCAGAGGCCCAGUGUCCAGCACCUUCCACUGGGGCAAUGCCUGAGAGAGCCCUCAGAGAUGUGACCCCCAGCAGGCCAGCAGGAUGGGCCCCAUCCACCCGCAGGUGGGCUGCCUGCAGGGCCCUAGGGGCCUGGCCCCUCGGCCGCCACCGCCCAGAGAUACUCGAGCUCACUUGGACAGGAGAGUAAAUAAGGUAUAAUGAAUGCUGAAUAACAACACGCCAACAGUGCUAAAGAAGCCCUAACCACUGCGUAGCCCUGAAAACUAACAAGUACCACCUACUGCAUAGUACUUAGUAAAUACUGGCCAUUGACUAGUGCUGAAUACUAAAUACUACAGAAUCCCAGUCACCAAGCCCUGCGAGUUCACCAAGCGCUGGGCGGGGCUACCAGGCCGCUGAGCACCCAUUGACCAAGAGUCCACUGGACACAGACAGGCAAACCACGGCGCCCAAGGUCACAGCCAGGGAGGGCAGAACUUACAGUCAGCUCGGAAGGCCUGAGCCAGGCCCGUGUUACUUCUGGACAGAAGCCAAAUGGGUCCCACCUGUGCUCCUCCCCUCCCCCUCCCCCUUGCCCUCCUUCUCCCGAAUCUAAGCCACCUGUCACAAUGGCCCCCAUAGCAACGAGGGGUAUGGGUGUGUGUGUUGGGGGGGUGGGAUGAGCAAAGAAGAGGCCCAUCAGCCUGGUGCAGCCUCACAGCCCACCUUCUGGGGAGUAGGGCAGGGGGAAGGGGUACAGGCGAGCCCCAUUAGUCCCCUCCCGAUGCCCCCAGGUGCCCCCAGCCAUGAGCUGUUUGGGGAGACACAGGCAGCCCCCUCUUUGGCUGGCUGAGGUUUCAUGAGCCUGGGGAAAGAAGAUCCAGCUAAAAUUAACCGUUAUCAAGCUGUCAGCCUGGAA